rnacentral:rRNA from 1 species
UACAGAGGUGCCGAGCGUUAUGCGGAAUCACUGGGCUUAAAGCGUGUGUAGGCGGAUCUGUAAGUACCUUGUGAAAUCCCACGGCUCAACCGUGGAACUGCUUGGUAUACUGCGGGUCUUGAGCCACCUAGGGGCAAGUGGAACAAGCGGUGGAGCGGUGAAAUGCGUAGAUAUCGCUUGGAACGCCAAUGGUGAAAACAACUUGCUGGGGGUGUGCUGACGCUGAGACACGAAAGCCAGGGGAGCAAACGGG